rnacentral:lncRNA from 1 species
CCCUGAGGCUUAAAACCUUCAACAACGCUUCCUCUGGGGUGUAAGCUCUUCUUACUGGCUCACCCUGUGGAGGGAGUGUACUUUCACCUUCAAUAAACCUUUGAUCUUGCUGCUCCUUUUGCGUGUCCUGCUCAAUUCUUUGUUCAAGACACUAAGAACUUGGAUAAGACCCUUCAUCGAGUAACAAUUUUGUAUUAUUUAACCCAAACUUCUGCCACAUGAGGAAGUAAGAAAAAUCUUUCCCUCACUGGCAUCUGCUUUUGUCUGAAACUUCUCAUCCAAACAGCUUAGACUUUCUUGGUAUUCUGGCAUAAAUACUCUGAAGAACCCAUUAGAAGACUUGAAAGAGUACAGAAAGAGGAAAUCUCAAGAAUAGGUAAGAUUCUGCUUUGUGAGAAAGGGAAGUCGUGUGUCUGCUCUCCGAAACUCUGUUCUCAGUAAAAGCACCAUCAGGUCAAGAAAACAUGUACGUCAAUCAGUUCCUCUUUGCUUAAAUGAAUUCCGCAUGAAUUGGUCAUUUGCAACCAAGAGUUCUGACAAAUACAUUGCACAAGAAAAGAGAAAUCAUGAAUCAUGAAAAAUGGAUCUUAAUUCCUUUAAGAUGAUGGAGCCAGCAGCAAAUCACAUCUCUGUGGUGGGAACAGAGACAUCUAGAGAACAACUUCUUCGUGAGAAGAAAGAGAAGAGCUCUGGGAAUCAAGAAAGAACCAGUAGGAAAGCUAAAAAUCACAGAGAACAGAAGACAACCAGAGAAAGGAAUGAAGCAGUGUGGAAAGCUAACUCUGACUCCAGGGUAGAGGGGAUCUCACCCCCAAACACAAGAUACCUUGAAGUCUGCCUUGAAGAGGGAAGAAACAAAGACAAGAGCUUGGUGGAUAGAAUAACAGGAUCUCACUAUGUAGACCAGGAUGGCUUGAACUCACUAUGUAGCCCAGUUGGCCUCGAAUUCAUGGCGAUCCUCCUGCCUCAGCAUCCCAAGUACUGGAAUUACAGGUUUAUCCUGGAGGACUUUUUCCUAGAUUCCUGUAACUAAAAAUUAGCUACAACAAUGUUUCUGAAAGAGGUUUUGGAUAAGCCAUCUAAAGCCUUAUAUACUUGAUACUAUUUUUAUUUACUUGUAUUUAAAUGAUAGUUGGGC